rnacentral:rRNA from 1 species
UAUUGUGGGCCUUCCUGCUUACCAGUGCCCACUCUUGUCUGAUCUCUGAAGCUAAGCAGGGCCAUGCCUGGUUAGCGCUUGGAUGGGAGACCGCUGGGAAUACCAGGUGUCACAGUGG